rnacentral:lncRNA from 1 species
UGUGAGAUCUUACUGCUGUCCUGAGCUCUACCCAGGGUUCUCUCUGCAUUUGGAUUUCCCAAACCAAUAUGGGUUUCAUUUCAGGAAAGAAGGCAACGUGUGGAGCUCCUUUUCUCAGGCACCCACCAUCAUGUAACUCUCCUCAUCACCCAGUUUGGAGAUUUGUUCUAGAGCGGCUGUUGCAUCCCUCCUCCUCAGAUCCCCACUGCGAGGAGGAACGUGCAGAGGCCCAGAUGGGAAGGAGGCCUGGGACAGCUGAGGCUCUCUGGGACCUGGACCUCUUUGUUGCUCCUGCUUUGGCCUGAAAAGCUCCCCUGAGCCUUCAGGAAGGGCAUGCAGCCAAAGGCCCAUCGAGAAGGAAUGGUAGCUCCCAGUCAUUGAGGACUUACCUUGUGUUGGAGGCCUUGUGUGUACUUCCCAACACACCUGUAUGAUUCCUCUUCUGUCGAGUGGAGAGAAUCAGCCCAUCUCCUGCAACACAGAAGUAACUGGUGAAUUUAAAGGUAACUGCAAAUUUGAGAGAGCUUUGCUGUCUCAGCGCACACUGAUCUUGCUGCCUACGAAUUUCCAUAUGUCCCAUCUUAACUCUGUAAAUUUGUCUUUGAUUAUCUAUUUUCUUUCUUGUAUGUACUGCAAGCUCUUCCCACUGGUCUUUCUGCUUCCACGUUGCACAUUGCAACCAGAACUCUCUUGCUCAACACCAUUUGGCUAGGACACUAAAAAGCCUUCAAGAGUUUCCCGUUUCUCCUGAAGUUCAAACUAUGUUCCAUAGUCCCCAAGGCCGUGCGUGAUCUGGAGCCUGCCUGUUUCUCCAGCCUCACCCCAUCCCUCUCCUUGCUCACGCUGUUCCCAUGCCUUCUUUCAGUUCCUCGACCAGCCAAAUUCUUUUCAUCUCAGGGUGUUUUCACUUCUGUUUCCUCUCCCUGGAACAUCCUUCUCUCACUUUUUUUUGGGUGUGUGUUGCCAACUCCUUGUCUUAUCAACUUCUUGUCUCAGUUUAAUUAUCAUCUCAUAAAACCAUACUGAGUUUCCCUCUAUUUAUUUCCUUCAUAAUAAUCAUCAAAAUCUUAAACUAUCUUAUUUAUUUAUUUAUUUUAAAGAUUGGCAUCUGAGCUAACAUCUGUUGCCAAUCUUCCUUUUUUUCUUCUUCUUCUCCACAAAGCCCCCCAGUACAUGGUUGUAGGUCCUUCUGUUGUGCUUAUGUGGAAUGCUGCGUCAGGAUGGCUUGAUGAGCGGUGCCAUGUCUGCGUCCAGGAUCCGUACCAGUGAAACCCUGUGCCACCAAAGUGGACUGCGUGAACUUAACCACCUGGCCACGGGGCCAGCCCCCCUUAAACUAUCUUAUUUAUAUGUUAACUUUUUUCCCCCCUCGCCCUUUAAAAAUGUAUCUUUCCACCCCUAAGGGCAUUAUACACUGUUGUAACCCCUAAUGCCUAAAACAGUACUACUAUUCUUCUAACUAGUAUGUAUUAGUUACGAAUAUGUUUGGCUGCAUAUAACAACAACAACAACAAAAUGACAAGUAGUGGACUUAACGAAUAAAGAUUUAUUUUACGUACCUAAGGAGAAAUCC